UGGGGAGCUCUUGUGGGAGGCAUGGACUGUUGAAAAACAGAUCUAAGGAGCCUUAGAGAAGAUCUCUUUAAAUAGGCAAAAGGUUUGAAUUCUAUUCAAAGCCAAAUAGCCCCUUAAUAUAACUCCUACUUGCAUUAGGAAUCCUUAUUCCCUUAAUUAUUUGACCCUCUUUAGGAGAUCCUUUAGACGCCAACUAUUGGAGCCUUUGCACCCACUUU
rnacentral:lncRNA from 1 species